rnacentral:rRNA from 1 species
UCAGGUGGCCGCAGAGAAUAGGCCCAAGCGACUGUUUACCAAAAACAUAGGUUUCUGCUAAGUCGCAAGACGAUGUAUAGGAGCUGACGCCUGCCCGGUGCUGGAAGGUUAAGGGGAUCUGUUAGAGCAAUCGAAGCAGUGAACUUAAGCCCCAGUAAACGGCGGCCGUAACUAUAACGGUCCUAAGGUAGCGAAAUGCCUUGUCGGGUAAGUUCCGACCCGCACGAAAGGCGUAACGAUUUGGGCACUGUCUCAACAACAGACUCGGUGAAAUUGUAAUUCCGGUGAAGAUGCCGGAUACCUGCGACAGGACGGAAAGACCCCAUGGAGCUUUACUGUAGCUUGACAUUGGGUCUUGGUACUACAUGUACAGGA